rnacentral:rRNA from 1 species
UACGUAGGGGGCAAGCGUUGUCCGGAAUCACUGGGCGUAAAGGGCGCGUAGGCGGACUUGUAAGUCUGAUGUGAAAGUGCGGAGCUUAACUCCGUAAAGCAUUGGAAACUGUGAGUCUUGAGGACAGGAGAGGAAAGUGGAAUUCCUAGUGUAGCGGUGAAAUGCGUAGAUAUUAGGAGGAACACCAGUGGCGAAGGCGACUUUCUGGACUGUAACUGACGCUGAGGCGCGAAAGCGUGGGGAGCGAACAGGAUUAGAUACCCCGGUAGUCC